rfam:Strigamia maritima strain Brora ctg7180000890426, whole genome shotgun sequence.
AAACAUGAGAGUUUGAUCCUGGCUCAGAACGAACGCUGGCGGCAUGCUUAACACAUGCAAGUUGAACGAGACGCAAGUCUAGUAGCAAACGGGUGAGUAACACGUGGGAAUCUACCAUAGAGACGGGGAUAACUGUUGGAAACGAUAGCUAAUACCGGAUAAUCCUUGAGGGGGAAAAGAGAAAUCUGCUUUAUGAUGAGCCUGCGUCCGAUUAGCUAGUUGGUAGGGUAAGAGCUUACCAAGGCGAUGAUCGGUAGCUGUUUUGAGAGGAAGAUCAGCCACACUGGAACUGAGAUACGGUCCAGACUCCUACGGGAGGCAGCAGUGGGGAAUUUUGGACAAUGGGGGGAACCCUGAUCCAGCAAUGUCGCGUGAGUGAAGAAGGCCUUCGGGUUGUAAAGCUCUUUCACUGAUGAAGAUGAUGACGGUAAUCAGAGAAGAAGCCCCGGCAAACUUCGUGCCAGCAGCCGCGGUAAUACGAAGGGGCAAGCGUUGUUCGGAAUUACUGGGCGUAAAGAGUGCGUAGGCGGUUAGUUAAGUCAGAUGUGAAAUCUCCGGUCUCAAACUGGAAACUGCGUUUGAUACUGACUAACUAGAGUAUGGGAGAGGAUAGUAGAAUUCCGAGUGUAGAGGUAAAAUUCGUAGAUAUUCGGAGGAAUACCAAUGGCGAAGGCAUCUAUCUGGAACAUAACUGACGCUAAGGCACGAGAGUGUGGGGAGCAAACAGGAUUAGAUACCCUGGUAGUCCACACCGUAAACGAUGAGUGCUGGAUGUUGGUAAGAAUAAUUAUCAGUGUCUGAGCUAACGCAUUAAGCACUCCGCCUGAGGAGUACGGUCGCAAGAUUAAAACUUAAAGGAAUUGACGGGGACCCGCACAAGCGGUGGAGCAUGUGGUUUAAUUCGAAGCAACGCGAAGAACCUUACCAGGAUUUGACAUAUCGACUAUAGAUGUGAGAGAUCAUAUUUUUCAGUUCGGCUGGGUCGGAUACAGGUGCUGCAUGGCUGUCGUCAGCUCGUGUCGUGAGAUGUUGGGUUAAGUCCUUAAACGAGCGCAACCCUUGUUUUUAGUUGCCAGCAGGUUAAGCUGGGUACUCUAAAGAAACUGCCGGUGAUAAGCCGGAGGAAGGCGGGGAUGACGUCAAGUCCUCAUGGCCCUUAUGUCCUGGGCUACACAUGUGCUACAAUGGUAGUGACAAAGAGUUGCAAACCUGUGAGGGUGAGCUAAUCUCUAAACACUAUCUCAGUUCGGAUUGCACUCUGAAACUCGAGUGCAUGAAGUCGGAAUCGCUAGUAAUCAGUAGAUCAGCAUGCUACGGUGAAUACGUUCCCGGGUCUUGUACACACCGCCCGUCAUACCAUGGGAGCUGAUUUAACCCGAAGAUGGUGAACCAACCGCAAGGAGGAAGCCAUUUACGGUAAGAUUGGUGACUGGGGUAAAGUCGUAACAAGGUAGCCGUAGGGGAACCUGUGGCUGGAUC